GAGAUAUAUACUGUCUCAUAUAUAUUUGAUGAAUUUAAAUUUUUAGUAAAAAUGCUUAAAUAAUUUUAUGGGACGAUAAGACCCUGUAGAAUUUUAUAUUAAUAUUUUAUUAAUUAUUUAAUUAAAAUAUUAAUAUUUAAUUGGGAGGAUUAAUAAAUUUAAAAAACUUUAUUUUAAAAAUAAACUUUGAUUUUAGAAUUAAUUUUUGAUCUUUUAUUAUAAAUCAAAAGAAUAAAUUACCUUAGGGAUAACAGCGUAAUAUCUUUUUAAAGAUCAUAUUUAAAAAGAUGUUUGCGACCUCGAUGUUGAAUUAAGAUAAAUUUUAAACGGAGAAGUUUAAUAAUUAAGUCUGUUCGACUUUUAAAAUCUUACAUGA
rnacentral:rRNA from 1 species